AUCUAGACUGUGACACAAUGGGUAAGUGUGUCUGGCUGUUAACCAGAAGCUUGGUGGUUUGAGCCCACCCAGGGACA